UUUCCAGAUUGUCAUUUUCUCCAGAUUUCAGGUCAGACAGGCCACUGGAUGUUUGCUCUUUGUAUUUCAGGUCCUUGUGGUGUCUCUUGUCUCUUGGUUUCUCCCUGUCACCUGAUUCAUCAUCCAAAUCCUGCUGUGUUUUAUCAUAAUUUGACCUCUCCUUGUGCUUGAGGUCCUGGUGCUGUCUCUUGUCUCUUGGUCUCUCCCUGUCACCUGAUUCAUUGUCCAAGUCUUGCUGUGUUUUAUCAUAAUUUGACCUCUCCUUGUGCUUCAGGUCCUGGUGCUGUCUCUUGUCUCUUGGUCUCUCCCUGUCACCUGAUUCAUCGUCCCAAUCUUGCUGUGUUUUAUCAUAAUUUGACCUCUCCUUGUGCUUCAGGUCCUGGUGCUGUCUCUUGUCUCUUGGUCUCUCCCUGUCACCUGAUUCAUCGUCCGAAUCUUGCUGUGUUUUAUCAUAAUUUGACCUCUCCUUGUGCUUCAGGUCCUUGUGGUGUCUCUUGUCUCUUGGUCUCUCCCUGUCACCUGAUUCAUCAUCCAAAUCUUGCUGCGUUUUAUCAUAAUUUGACCUCUCCUUGUGCUUCAGGUCCUUGUGGUGUCUCUUGUCUCUUGGUCUCUCCCUGUCACCUGAUUCAUUGUCCAAAUCUUGCUGUGUUUUAUCAUAAUUUGACCUCUCCUUGUGAUUCAGUUCCUUGUGGUGUUUCUUCCUUUUUAAUCUUCCCCUUUCACCUGAUUCAUCUUCUGAAUCUGUUGGUGCUUUUUCCUCAUAAUUUGACCUCUUAUGGCUACCAUCCUUUCUUCUUUCUUCUUCAGGAGUGACAUUUUCAGAUUGGUGUCUCGAUGAAGAAUGCGUGUGAUGCUUUGAACUCUUGUGAUGAAGUUUCUUUUCCUCUUUUCUAUCGUGUUUCUUCUCCUUGGGCUUUUUCUCUUCCACCUACCAAAAAAUCAACAAGGACAGCAGCAUGAUCAGCAAAAGCUUUGGUGCAGAAUCAUUGUAAAGAAUUUUGGUGUACAAUGUAGUUAAACAAAAUGCCAUAGAUAACAUAAUUUUGUUGAUUUCUUUCAAUAGAACUCAUAUCUUCAUCAUAUAUCAAUGUUCCAUAGAAUUUUUUUGGGGGAGAUGUCAUGUGGCUUCCAACCUAAUCACGCAAUCUCAGUUUUUAACUUGAUUCAUAAUCUCCUAUUUUUCAUCCUUGGUGUCAUUAGGCACGUUGGCCCCACAAAUCUGUCUAAACAGACAAGUUCAAGGUUGUUUAGUCAUUUUUAAUAGCUUGCUAUUUUCACUCUAGGGAAAUAAAAAUAUUCUAAGAAUUCUAUGGACAUUCAGAGGGUGUUUGGUGAUUUACUUAAUGACUUAAAGUGACUUAAUAACUUAAUUUCAAUUAUUAAGUAGAUUAAACAUGUUUGGUAAAACAGCUUAAUAUCACAACUUGAAAUUAAAAAUGACUUUACGUAUCAAGUCAAAAUAAUUAACUAAUUAUUAAUCUUAAAUCUUUUUUGUUUCAUUUACCCAUAUGUAAGGAGAGUAUAUUUAACAACCAUGACUCCACAUUUCUGAGUCAUUUUUUAUAAUAAAUAUUUUAAGGUUAUUUUAUAUAUCUACAAUACUUUAAAUAUAGAUAUUUAAUAAACAAAUUUAUUGCUUAAGAUCAAUAAAAAUAUAUAUUAGUUAAAAUUAAUGAUGAUAAAUAUCAAUUACAACUAAUGAGGGUAAAUGUGAAUUUGAUAACUUAAAAUAAAUUUUAAGUUAAUUUGAUCAAACAACUUAAACACUUAAAGUAAAAUAUAAUUAAUAGGUUCUAAUUUAACAACUUAAGAGCAAUUUCACUUAAAGUCAACUUAAGUCAUUAAGUAACAAACAUUAAGUUUUACCAAACGCCCACUCAAACUUGUACUUAUUUACACUAGUAUGCACUCUUCAAUAAAGUUUUUGUUCAUAAAAGAUAAUUACUUGUGAAAAAACAAUUACCAUACCAUCACAACUCCUGCCACUAAUAUUUAGCUUAUAAAUGGGAUAAACUUACAGAUUUGCGGAUCAUGGCCAUCUGAACUGGAUUGUUCUUAAUGUGUGCCAGGGCUUCUUGUUCUCGCUGUCGAAUCAUAAGCAAAGGAUCAGAAUGAAGUUUCCUCCAUGUAUCAUUGGCAGAUUGAGGUUUCUCCUCAAAUAAAGCUCCUGGCACGGAUGGUUGCUGCUGCUAAGACAUACCACAAAUUCAAAAUUCAAAAAACAGCUCUUGAAUAAAUCAUGUGCCUUUUAUUCAUCAAUCAAAAGGCUAAAGCACUGGCAAAUAACCGAACUUCAAAUUACCUUGGCAGAAGAAGAGGAGGCUACAUCGUUGCUGGGCAGGGCUUCCAGUGCUUUGAAUCCAUCAGAGCUGCCCUUUCCUACUGCUAAUCCAGAAUCAUAAAGAAAUUCCAAUCUCUCUUGCUUGCUGAAAAAUAAAGUAGUUAAAAAAGAAUUAAUUUCAUAAAUUAUUCAAAACACUUAAACAUCAUAAAUCCUAAUAUGCAAAACGAAACAAGAAACUAGAUUGAUUUCAUAAAUUUAACCCUAAGUUUAAAAUCAACAAAUUAUAUUAAAAAAAAAAAAAAGAAUAAUGUAAUGACAAAAUGGAACAUUUUCAUAGAUCCUACUGGAAUGCUGCAAACCCUAACCUUAACCAUAGCCAUAAAAUCGACAAAUCGUAAUCCAUUUCAUAAAGAAUUAAUUAGUCAAACCCAAACUUUCAUAAAUUCGUUAAACCAGAGAUAUUAUAAACCCUAACUAUAGGCCUAACCCGAAGCUUAAAACCAACCAUUUAUAAUGAAAAAAAUGGGUUAAUUCCAUAGAUCCUUCCAAACCAAAAUAUUGUGAACCCUAACCCUAACCAUAAAAUCAGCAAAUUAUUAUCCAUUUAAUAAAUCAUUCAAACCAGAAUUAUUGUAAACCUACCCCCUAACCCUAACUCUAACAUCAGAAAAUUAUAAUCCAAUAAAAAAAUUCUGCAAAGCCGAGAUAUUGUAUCAGAAACCCUAAUCCUAAUAUGAAGAAAGUAUGACAAAAAACAGCGAGAGUAACAUACGGAACGAGGCCAGCUUGUUCCUGGAGGAGCCGAUAUUCUGAGCGCUCCCUCUCCUCCAGAAUCUGUUUGCGGAGCUCUUCCAAUUUCUUCUGCUCAGCGUCAUGCUUCUGCUCAGCCUUCCACACGUUCUCUAUGUUCCGAAGACUCCCCGUGUGCCAUCCCUUCUUGUUCAAAAACUUCAACGCCAUAGAUCUUCAAUUUCAAUUCCAAUUCCAGAUUUUUCAGAGGUUUAGAUCUGCAAAUUCUGCUGCUUUUAUUUUCACUUCUUUCCUUUUUUCUUCCGGAGGUUCGCCCAUUUCGUUGUAAUCUUAUAUUUGCAAUCAUUUAUUUAUUAUUAUUAUUAUUAUUAUUUAAAAAAAAAAAAAAAAAAAACACUCUAGAGGUAGGGUCAAAUAGCACGUGCCUCUUAUACUGAAUUUAUCUGAUAUUUGAUUGUUGCAAAGUGUAUCGAGAAAGAGCUUGAUCAUGGAAGGUUUCUCGAUCAUCAAUAAAAAUAAAAAUGUUGUAUUUAGAUAUAUUUUUUAUUUUUAAAAAUAUAAAUUUUUAUUUUUUGUUUUAAAAAAUAUAAAUUUAUAUAUAAAAAUUAAAAACUUUUAUAUAAAAUGUAUUUUUAAACAUAUCAUAAUAAAAAAUUUUAAUACCUUAAUUAUUAUUAUUUUUUUUGUCAAUUUUCAAAAAUCAUUAAUUUUUAAUAUAAGUCUAUAAAGUUCCUUAUAAAAAUUACUAUUAUUUCUAUUUUUAAAAUUAAAAGGACACUUUUUCUUAAUACCCUAGUUUAAAAAAUAAAAAAUGCUACUACAUGUACAACAAAAAAUGAUAAAUAAUAUUUAGUAGGAAUAUUGUAUUAAAAAUAUUUCAUAUUUUUAAAUACAAUUAUUAUAUUGUCAUUAAUUGCAAAAAUGUCAACAAAUGUUAUAAAUUUGUAAAUUUUGAUAUUCUCGAUGGAAUCAUUCCAUGCUAUGGAUUUUUUUUUUAAAAAAAGCAUUAUUAAAACACAAUUGUUUAAAAAAUAAAUACAAAAAUACCACACUUUUUAUCAUUUUUUUUUAUUUUUACACUAAACUAUGUCUUUUUAAAAGACAAUUUCCUUUUUUAUCUUAAUACUUUUUAUAUUAAACUUCUCUUUCCAAAAUACAAAUUCAUUUUUUUUACAGGUAACUCACAUUUUCAAUAUACGAAAUCUACUCGAAAUUAAAAUGUAUCGUAAAUACAUAUAUAUAUAUAUAUAUAUAUAUAUAUAUAUAUAUCGCCCAUGAAAUCGUGACAAAUCCACAACGGUUUGGUAACACCAUUUACUUGUGUACCAAUUCCGUCUUCCACUCUUGCAUGAAAAUAUUAGGUAUUGAAUGUCAUUUUGUUCAUUUUCAAUUCAAGUUUCUCAUAUAUUCACUAAGAAUCAAUUGAUGAUAUUUUAUAUUAGCCUCUUGGGAAGGAGUUUUCUUGCUUUUACAUAGGGGGUGCAAUUUGGAUGGGUUAAUCGAGUUGAUGGCUAAUCCAAGUCCAACAUGAAUUAAAAAGCAAUUAAUCUAUGUUCAAUCCAACCCGAUCUCUAUCUCAAGGUACUCAAUUUAAAUUCAACUAACUUCAUUUUUCUAAACCUAAGUUGAGUUCAGGUUAUUCAAGUUUGAUUCGAGUUAAAUUUGGGUUAAUCAGAUUGUAUAAUUCAAAAUUUAUUUAUGAUAUUGUAGACCCCUUUUAUGGGGGGCCCGGGGGGAGAGUUUUUCUCUCUUUGGGCAUUUCUUUUUUAAACAAGGGGGGACCCUUUUCUCUAGGGAAUGUUGAGGCCUCGCGUCCCUGGUGAUCCACGUAAUUGCCAAAUGGAUGGACGCAUGAUCUUAACCAAUAUAGAUUCCUGGUUUAGUCGUUCCUGCAAAAGGCGUCCGGACAAGGUGUUCGGACACACCCUCCGAUGGUUUUGUCAGCCAUGGUUAGAGAGAUAAAUCAGUUGACCUUUUACUAGGUAUAGCAAGCUUACCUUCCUCCUUGUAUGAAGGUCUAUAUAUAUAGUGUUAGGAACUUUGUUUCCCUCUUUAAUGGUAGGGAGAUAUUUUGGCUUCGUCAUGAUGCCUCUAGGUGGUGGCAAGGUCAUCAUCACCCUACGGGCGGCUGACAGAGAUCGUGGGAGGCGCCGCAACUGUCAGAGGUCGUGGGAAGUGACUUGCCGUCACUUCAUUCCUGUCUUUUCACUCUGCAGGUGGCGGAACGUGGGCCGUGGCAGGUUGUUGGAAUGAUGUGCAAGACUUGCUUACUUCAGUCAACAAUCCGGACAAAACAUAUCCGGAUAGGAUAUGUCGGUCGUCCGGAUGUGAUAUGACGGUCGUCCGGAUGUGAUGUUUGCGAGUGUAGUGUGCCUCUCCCUGAGGGAGUCCGGAUAGGAGAAGCGCGCCACGUGCACUCUUGGGGGAAUCCGGAUGGGGGUAAUCCGGAUAGAAACGUGUGCCACGUGUCAUUAGGAAAUGUGUGCCAUGUGUCAUCAGGGGGAGGGGUCCCUACAGGGAAGACCGGGCUGCAAAGAGGAAAAGGAGUAGGGAUGACCAUAAUUUCAGGAGCCAUGCCUGCUGAUGAGGACACAGGAGAGUGGGUGAGAGGGACAGAAGGCUUUUGAGGUCAGGAGGAGAGGGAGGGAGGAGGAGAAAAAGGCGCUCUGGAGGUGGCAGACGAGCAGGAGGAGGGAAAGCCGAACCACAUUCAGCUAGAAAGCUCAGGUAUGGCCAUCUCCUCAAUUCUGAUCUUUAUUUUUCGCUAUUUUUGCUCAGUGCUGUGAAUCUAUUUUUCUCUGUUAUUGGGCUUGUUGAUUAUUGCUUUGGCACCAUUCUUUCCGAACCCCAUGCGCGACCACCCUCUGUAACUCUCCACUCUUUCAUCCUCACUACCCAUCAGAAACACCACCCUCCCAUUUCCAUCAUCUCUUUCACGUGCAUGGAGUCUCAUGCAUGGCUACCCAANNNNNNNNNNNNNNNNNNNNNNNNNNNNNNNNNNNNNNNNNNNNNNNNNNNNNNNNNNNNNNNNNNNNNNNNNNNNNNNNNNNNNNNNNNNNNNNNNNNNAAAGUCCAGCCCUACUUGAACUCCUCCGCCUCCAUUACCAACAGCAGGCUGAGCCUCACCUGGGCCUUGAAUCCCUCCGUCAUCCACCACCGUCGACGAGGAAGAAGAAACCCGGCUAGGCUUCGCCGGGCCUUGUUUGCGGCGUCGCCGGCCCUGCGUCAGGCGUGACGCAGCCCCGGUCAUCUGCACCGGCCAGCACCAUGUCCGACCAAGCUGAGAGUUCAGCCAUUGACACCGCCCGCUCGUCGCGAUGAGUGAGAGUCACCAUCCUCGCCGUCGUCUUCACCGGCAGCAUGCACUUCAAGGCCUUGGAGGGCCUCGCGACCGCCUCCAUUCAGUAGCCGCCUUCGUCCCGCCGACAGCGAGGGGUUCCGUCCGAGGGUAUUGCCCAGGCGGUGGAGUGGAGGGUGAAAAUUUUGGUCCCUUGGGCUUGCCCAUAUUGGCCUUGAACUUGGGCUUAAGUUGGUGCCUUGGGCUUGCCCAUAUUGGUGACAGGUUUGGGCUUGAGUUGGAGCCCAGGCCCAUAGUUGCUGAUGAAAGGCCCCUUUGCUCCCUAUUCUAGCCAUCUCCAUGGCCCAAGUCCAUGUUGGGUUAGCCCAUUUGGCUACAUUAUGUCUAAACAAGUUUUUUUAAUCUCUAACCUUAGUAAAUUAUUAACUUAUUCAUGUUUUUAUUUAUUUAUUAUUUAUUCUUAUUUUUACCUUAUUUUAUCUUCACCAAUUUAGUUAGCUCAACUUAAAGACAAUUAAAAGAUAAAUUAUUAUUCUUAAUUAUAUUUUUAUCUUGAAAUUUACACUAUUCAAUUUCACUAGUUUAAACAUUAUGAUUGUCAACUAUUAUUAUUAUUUCGUACGUAUCUAUUUAUCAUCUUUCAAAAUCUCACUCAUCAAAGUUAAAUUCUAAUCCUUCAAAAACCCCAUAUCUUAAUCUAAUAUUUCAAUAAUCCGUUUAAAUCUCGUUUUCAUCAAUUAAGAAUUAUUAUCAUAUAUUUAUCUAGUUAUUUGAAGUCUUACCCUUUCAAAAAUCUCAUGUCUUAAUUCAAUUUUUCAACAGUCCGUUCAAACCUUAUUCGUCUAAAUGUUAUUUUCGUUAAUUAGUAUUAUUAUCCUAUAUAAGUUUAUUUAUUUAAAAUCCAAUCCUUCAAAGAUCCAAUGCCCUAAUUUCAUUUUCCAAGCCCUGAAAAUUCCACUAUUCGUCUAAAUGUCAUUUUCGUUAAUUAGGAAUUAUUGUCUCAUAUUUAUUUAUUCAAAGUCUAAUCCUUCAGAAAUCCAAUGUCAUAAUUUAAUUUUUCAAUCCUAAAAAUUCCACUAUUUGUCUAAAUGUUGUUUUCGUCAAUUAGAAACUCGAUACUUGUUUACCUCUUUUAAAAAUCUCAAUCAUUGAACUUAAUUCUCGACCCUAAAAAUCCCACUAUCCUUUUUUAUUCGUUUAAACGUUGUUUUCGUUAAUUAUUAUUAUUACCCUAUAUUAGUUUAUUUAUUUAAAAUCUAAUUCUUCAAAAACCUCAUGUCUUAAUUUAAUUUUUCAAUCCUAAAAAUUCUACAAUUCGUUUAAAUGUUAUCCUCAUAAAUUAGAAUCAUUAUCCCAUAUCUAUUUAAAACCCAAUCUUUCAAAAACCCCAUAUCCUAAUUUAACUUUCAAUCCCAGAAAUUCCAUUAUCCGCCUAAAUGUUAUUUUCAGUAGUUAGAAUUCUUAUCCCCUAUCUAUUUAUUUACUUAAGGUCCAACUCUUCAAAAAUUCAACGUCCUAAUUUAAUUUUUAAUCCUAAAAAUUCCACUACUCAUUUUCUAUCCGUUUAAAAUAUUGUUUCCGUUAAGUAGUAUCAUUAUUCCAUAUUAUCUAUUUAAUCUAAUCGUUAAAGUUCAAUUCAUCAGAACCCGACUUCCAAAUCUAAUUUCCAACCUCAAAAGCUCCACCGCCCACAUAUCGCCGUUUAAUGAUUAUUCUCGUUAUCAAUGUUAUCCCAUCUACUCACUUAUUCAGUUAUUCAUAUAUCAAAGAUCUCAUCUCUAAAUAAAUUCUCAAGUUCUCAAUCUCUAAAUUCACAUCUUCAAAUCUCUAAAAUUCCAUCUUUCGCAAUUAUUUACCUAAACUUUAUUACUUCACCUUCGUUAUUAUUCCAUCCCUUUACUUAUUCACUCAUCCACUUAUCCCCCCAUUUAAAAUCCCGAACUCUCAAACCAUUUUCAAAGUUUCCAACCUCGUUCAAAUUUAAUUUCUAAAAAUUCUCAUUCCCGCAUUUAAUUCCUGAAAGUCCGAUCUUCAAAUAAACUCUAAAAUCCCAAUUUUCUUUAAAUAACCUUCGAGACUCCAAUUUUUCAAAUGAAUUUCAAAAAUCCGAUUUUCUCUCAAAUAGCUUUAAUUCCAUUUUGGUCUUCAAACAAUCUUCUGCUCCUCUUGAUUUUAAUAAGCAGGAAAGAGUUUUCCGUAAUUCCGAAUAAUGGAAUUUAUGGGAUUAAUUCAUGCAAUAUAAAUCGGGCUCUGGUGAGGGCCCAACAUAUGUGAUUUCCUUAUGAUUGAUUGAUUGUUUGUCUGAUUUAAUUGCUAUGCAUGAUUGAUUUUAUUCUGCUCUAUGACAUGCUCGAAAUUAUUCCUUAAUUGUGCACUAACCUCACUUUUUGAUAGCGCUUUAUGGAUCACUGCCCAGGUACGCAUCCACAUCUACUCGGGUCAUUUUCUGUAUGCAUGUUUAGAUUCUCACAUGUGCAUGAUCACUCUGAGUAUUCAUUGAUUCCCUCAUCAAUUGCCAUGAUUGCUUCAUGUUAUUAGUAGAGACCCAACUUUAGGGACUUAGAAGGGUGAUAUGGUCUUUACCGUACCUUUCUGAUAAGUAACCUGACCCCUGAACCCGAUCCGGUUUUUCGUAGACCACCUUUUCCAAAUAAGGAGUCACACUUAGGGUUUUUAUUUCUUAUUUUGUUUACCCUUUUAAAAAUAAAACAAAAAUAAGUGGCGACUUGAUCGCUCGGAUUUUGUCGUUUAUUGGAUCAAAACAAAAUUUAUAACCUAAUUCACUAUUUUAUAGCAAUUUGUACCCGAUCAAAAAGUGGUUUUAGUACAAACUACUGUAGUAUAGUGGUUUUUAGGUAUCGUCCACAAGGAUGGAUUAUUCUUGGUAAUUAAGGCUUGAAUGAGAUGAUAAGAAAUGAUUGUGAUCAAAUGAAAUUGAUUUGAAAAUGCAUGAUAAAAUUCCAAAAUAACAAUGUAUUCAAAUUGAGAGGAAAAUGAAGUGUAAAAGAGAAGAAAAUUAAUAAGAGGUGAGAUUCUCGGAGUUAGGAUUUUCUAGAAAGCAAUUUCCAUGGUGAAUAAAUGUUGAGAUCUAAUUUUCAUCAAGUUAGAUUGAAAACCUAAAUUUUCUUCAAAACCGAUUUUUGAUUUAGCUUUAGAUCUAGAUCUAAUUUCUCUUCAAAUUAGGUAAUAUAAUCCAAGAGAUCAAUUUGAAUCAUAUAUUCAAUUCAUCUUAAAUUAUCUUCCAAUGAUUCACACAAUGCAACUAUUCAAUCUCAUCAAAUCUAGCAUUAAGAAUUUGAUGAAUCUAUCUAGCUUGCAUUGUAGUAAUCAUCCAAGACAAUUUGAAGAGAAAAAUCCCCAAAUUUCAAUUAAUCAAUCAAUUGGAUCAAAUUACCUUAGCAAUUCAAGCUCAAUUCUCUAAUUCACCAUAGAUCUUGCCUCUAGAUCCUCCCUCCUCCAAGAAAACGAGAUUUAGCCACUCAUGCUUGGAGAUUUGAUCUCACAAGACAUGUUUGGCUACCGAGAAAAUAAAAGAAACUGAAGGAAAGUGGAGAAUUAUAUAGAGAGAAGAAGUAUGAAAAGUUCUACAAUUAGAAAAUGUAAAAAGGUCUAAAAAGUCCCUCAAUAAGUAAAAUCCCGUUUCUAUUUAUAGGCCAAGGUAAAAAGGACACUUGACAACAUUUUAGAGGUCUUCCGGAUGCUUCUUCAUCAAGGAAUCUGGAGAGAAUGCAUUUUCGCACGAGCCCUUAGCAAUCUCGCAUGAUGGUGCGAAGUGGAAAACCUUUCAGCUGCAUUUUCGUCUUGCUGGAGCAUUUCGCAUGACUGCGAAAUCACUUUUCACAUUGCCCUUAUGUGCUGCAGCCAACAUCCUUCCUGUUUCAUUUCGCAUGACUGUGCGAAAAUUUCGCAUGGUCAUGCGAAAUCGAAAAUCAUGCUAUUCCGGCUCCUCUUUGCAAUCUCUCUCAUUUCUUCAUGUUUAAUCCAUCUCCACCACCUUCAAUUAAGCUCCAAAGCUUGGUCCAAGUGCAUUUCAUUGCUUCUUUCAUUAUGCAUUUGGAUUCUCAUCAACUUCAUAUAUUUUCUUCAACUUGAUUAAUCUCUUUUGCCACCAAUAUAUCAAAAUUAUACCUUGAAAUGACUCCUAAACUUCAUAAAACUUGUUAGUAACUCUUGCAAAGGCAACAACAUGCUAAUUGAGUGUUUUAGACAUAAUUACUACUCAAAAGAUGUGAAAAUCAUGAGAAUUAUUAUCUAAAAUAUGUUCUUUUUGAGUAGUAAUCACGACUCCAAGUCAUUUUCUUAAUCAAUAAAAACCAUUUUUCAAACCAAAAUCGAGCUCGCCUUCGAGUGGGAAACACACGAGCCGAAAUGUGGGGUCCACAGAUAUGUUUAAAAAAAAUUAUAUAUAUUUAUAUGAAAUUUAAAUGAUAAAUAGGAAAAAAAAUUCAAGAUAACAAAAAAAAACAAAGUUUCAUUUAUAUAUUUUUCUAAAAAAUGAAAAAUAUAUGUUGUAAUAUAAUUUGAUAUUUUAAAAAAUAUAUAUAAAAAGAAAAUGAAUAUUAUUAUGUAAGAUAAUAUGCAUUAUAAAUAUUAUAAAAACAUUAAAUCAAGUUCAGAUUGUCUAAACCUUAAUCAAAACUCAAUUCAAAUUGAGUUCAAAUUGAAAAAAUCUAACACAAACUCAAUCUAAGUAUUAAAAAUGAUUGUCUAAAGCCGUUUAAAUUUUGAGAUGGGUUUGGAUUAAUUUGAGCCAACCCACGCAAGAUACACCCCUACUUUUACAUUCCAAGCACAGUAUAUUGAAUAUAACCAAUAUUUUGUAAGAGCAUGUAUGUCAUUUUAUUUAUUUUUUCUUCCAAAAUCAUCCAAAGAAUUUGUUAUGCUAAGGUACUAAAUUGGUAUCAAUCAAAUUUCUAAUUUUCAUGAUUAAAAGUGUACCAAAAAAUCUAAAUUGUUUUAUGAAGGUACAAACAAUAGGGUUACGUACAAAGAAUAUGACUAUAUAUAUUAUAGCCUCUCUCAUAUACACAUGCAUGCAAGUAUAGAGAGGUAUAAAAUGGACUUUAGAAGAUUAAAAAACUAAAGGUUUUUUUAACCUAAUUAAAAGUUGAAUUUGGGAUCUAGUGCUUAAAUGCUCUAAUUAAGUGCUUAAAUGCUUAGAAUACUCAAAUAUUGAUUGAGAACGCUCAAGUAUUAAACAAGAGGUGCUCAAGCGCACUUAUCCCACACUCAAGCUUUCGAAGGCCAAUAUGCCAUAAUUCGCAAUAUUUUGAUAAACUCAUUUUAGAAAAUUGAAGAUUUAGUAAUAGUCCAAAUCUAUUAGGUUGUAACCUUAUAAAUUUGCCAUAAAAUUUCAAUUUCUUCUUGAUGCAUAUAUAGUCUAAAAAGUCAAUACAUUUUAUGAUACUUGAAACUCUUAAAGAUGUUGGAUUUCGUUUUUCUUUUUAGGUUUACAAAAGAAAAUCACAUCCCCUCAAGCUGUUGAGAAAUUAACUAAAUAAGCAUAGUAAUAUUGCAUCAUGGAUGUGAGGUUAGAGAUAGGUAUUGGGAUGUAAUCUAAUAGAGUAGUAAUUAUCGAGUAAAUUUAUAUACAUAAUUCUUAAUAAUUAAUGGGUUAUAAAUUUACGAUCUCUAAUCUCAUAAUCUUACUGUAGACCCUCAUUUUGGUCUAGUUUUUUUUUGUUAUUUUUGGAGCACUAUUUUCAUAUUGGUGGCAUCUUGGAGGAGUGGGGAGGCCGACUUCUUCAAGUGCUGAGAGCCGUAUGCAUGGACGCAUGGCCAAUGACACCCCCACCUUGCCUUGGUGGUGGUUAGGGAUGGAGACAUAUAUGAGCAAGGAGCAAAGGAAUAGUGGGUGAGCAGAAAAGUGGGUGAAAACUGGACUAAAAAGGAAACGAAUGACGUUUUUUUUAGAAGGGGAGUUGUAGAAAACUGAGAGGAGAGGGAAUGGAAAAAAGAGGUGAUAUUCGGAGAGAAAAACAGAGGAAUUGGGAUAGAGAUUUUUAGUUCCAGAAGGAGGGGGGUUUCAGCAAGGAAGAGACUAGAUAAAAAAAAAAAAAAAAAAAAAAAAAAAAAAAAAAAAACAGAAGCUUGGAGAGCAAGAUUUCUAGAGAGAAAAAAAAUAGGGGAUUUAGAGGAGCAAGAGGAAAAAUGAGGAAUUCGUGAGUUGGCUAGCUCAUUUUUGCUAGCAAUGAGCUCUCCUAGAUCUGCAGGAGUGUGAAAGUUGAUUUUCAUGGAGGGAACUAGAGGUGGUGGUCCCUCGGUAGUGUCACCUGUAAUCCAAUGGAAAACUGAUGUGUCCAGGCUUUUUCAGUAUUAUCUGGGUAAAACUGCUCCUCACCCGGUAGCUGGAAACUUCGAAUGAGACUUUACUACGCACAAAGGUUUAGAUGAAUUCAAGCAUUUCAUUCGCAGUCUCCCUAAGUUUAAGUUCUGGUAUGUGUUUCUUAUUUUGUUAGUUUGGUGUCUUGCAUUAUUUUGCUUUAAGGUUUCAUUUAUUAGUUGUUUUCAUUUCAGCAUGCAAUAUCCUAUCCUAUGUACUUCAUUUCAUUAUGGGUGGUGUUAAUUCAAUUGGUGGUUUGUAUCAAGAGAGCACUUUGAUUCCAUUCAUGUUUGGAUUGUUGAUGUUGUAAGUAAUCUGUAAUUUGUGCUCAGUGAUGGCAAGAUAUGGCCCAUAUCCACCAGCCGAUUGCAUGUCCAUGACUUAGUGGAUCACUCAUGCAUCACCUUGGAUAUGGAUAUGUAUCUUGUGGCCCAUAUCCACCAGCCGACCCUUGCCACCUUCAACCAUUAUACAUGAUGGUUAGCUACAUGGGCUUCAGCACUACCAGUGUCCAACCUCUUGCUUUCUACCACCUCCACCUAGCACCUCGAACCCUACUCAUGCAUGACCACCUUUGCUAUGCAAUCCCAAACAUGCCCAUAUUCCUUUUUGAUCCUUUAUGCUCACACAUUUUUACAAAUUAUUUUUUUGAAUGAUUUUCAUAAUUCCAGACUUUCGAAUAAUCUUAUUUUCACUUCAAUUCUCGAAAUAAUUUUCUAAGGUUCCAAUUUUUAAAGUUUCCGAAAUUUCAUUCUUGUAAUAAUUUUCCAAAGUUCCAAUUUUUAAAUUUAAUUUUUCGAAAUUCCUUUUUUCAAAUAGUUUUCGAAAACUACCAUUCUCAAAAUUUUCCAAAAUUCCAAAAGUUCAAAUUUAAUUUUAAAAAUACCAUUUUUCAAAAUUUCCAAAAUUCCAAAUUUAAUUUUAAAAUGUCAUCUUCAAAUAAAUUUUCCAAAAAUUCUAAUUUCCAAAUUUAACUUUUAAAAUGCAGUCUUCAAAUAAAUUUUCCAAAAAUUCAAAAUUUCAAAUUUAAUUUUUAAAAUGCCAUCUUCAAAUAAAUUUUCCAAAAUUUCAAAUUCCAAAUUCCAAAUUUAAUUUUUAAAAUGCCAUAUUCAAAAUUUAAUUUCUAAAACUCGAAUUCCUAAAUAUAAUUUUCAAAAUUCCAAUUUCUUUCAAAUUUAAUUUCCAAAAUUCCAAUUCUUAAAACUAAUUUUUAAAACUCCAAUUUUCAAAUAAUUUUCGAAAUUCCAAUUUCUUUCAAAUUUAAUUUCCAAAAUUCCAAGUCUUAGAUUUAAUUGUCGAAACUCCAAUUUUUAAAUAAUUUUCGAGAUUUCAAUUUUCAAAUAAAUUUCAAAACUCUAAUUUUCUUUCAAAUAUAUUAAUUCCACUCAAGUUUUUCAAAUAUUUUUUAAUUCUACAACUUUUUCAUCCUUAAUUAGAGUUUUAGGUCGCCAAAAAUCCUAAUUUUAAUAAGUGUUAUUAUCAUUUUGGUAUGCACUUAUACAAAUUUUCUUCAAUUUUUAAAUAUUUUUUUGUUUCUUUUGUUUUUUUUUUAAAUAAGCAAAAAUGAAUUUUUCAUAAUUCCAAAAUAAUGGAAUUUGUUAGACUAAUUCAUGCAAGCUAAAUUGGGCUUUGGUGGAGGCCCUACAUAUGAGUUUUCUCUUCUGAUUGUCAACUGUUAUGCUUAAUGAAUAUUGUUUGAUAUUUUUCUUGCUCUAUGCAUGUGAUAUAUUUUGUAUUCAUUAUUAUCCACUAUUUAUGUUUCAUGAUAGUGCUUUAUUACCUAUUGCCAAGGUACGCUAUCUCUCUCACUCUCACUCUCACUCUUACUUUGUUUAUUUAUUCAUUAUCAUAACUUGCUUUUGAUUUAUGAUCAUUUUGGUAUCCAUCAAUCUCCUAGUUAAUUGUCAUGUUUGCUUUACCUUAUUUAGUAGAGACUCGUUUCUAAGGGGCUUAAAGGGGUGCUAUGGCCUUUACUGUACCUUCCCAAUAAGUAACCUGACCCCCGAACCCAGGUUUGGUUUUUCACAGACCGUCUUUUCUAAAUAAGGAGUCACACUUAGGGUUUUAUUUUUUAUUUUUUAUUUUUUUUUCAUUUAAAAAUAAAACAAAAAUAAGUGGUGACUCCAAGUCAUUUUCUAAAAAAAUAAAUCAUUUUUCAAAUAAAAAACGAGUUUUGCCAUCGAAUGGGAACGCAUCGUGCGAAAUGCGGGGUCCACAAAAUGGCGACUCCACUAGGGAUUGCUAGAGGGUUUAACUUGAACGUAAGUUGAGGAAAAUGUGGCAUUUGAUUGGUCAGUCAAUGGGUACCCACCUCUUUUUAUGUUUUUGUUUGCUUGACUGUUGAUUGCAUAUUGAGAGCUCUUGGUAUCAUUAUCCUUGAUGCAUGCCUGGUUAUUGAAUUUGUUUGAGGCAUUGACAUGUUGAUUAUAUUGAUUGAUCAUUUCGCCUAUCCUCACAUAUUAACUCUCAUUGUUGUAUGAUUACUCUGCUCACCUUGACUUGUAUAUUCUUAGUGUUACUUAUAUUUUUCAUUUUUAUAUCUUGACUUUUUUUGUUAUAUACUAUCUUGAUCACCUCUGAGCAUGCCAUUUAUUCUUGUUAGAUAUUCAUCAUGAUUAUCAUAUUUCUUACUUAGCUUAUGUGUAGAUUUGGAUGAUAUACAUGUGUUUUGCAUGAUUGUCUGUUGCAUGACUUCUCUCAUCUACAACAUCAGUAUCAACCGAUUUAUGUUCAACAACCUUACAUUGCUCAGACUAGCAUACAACCACAACCACCACAUCCGAGAGCCACUACUCCUCUGCUGUUUAGACCAUAUGCAUAGAGGCCUGUGAGACAGUUCAUUCCAUUGGGCAUGACUUUGACUAGAGCUUUUGAGAAGGUCAGAGACGUUGGUGUGAUUGUUCCUUUGGCACCACGACCCUUGCCGUAUCCUAUUCCUCCUCAUUUCCGCUUACAUGAGCAUUGCUUAUAUCAUUAGAUUCAAGGGCAUGAUACUAAGCAUUGUGCGGCGCUCCAUCAUGCGAUACAAGACUUGAUUGAUUUAGGGUUGGUCAACUUGUCUGGGCCAUGUAUGACCACCAAUCCCCUACUUGCGCAUUCUACACAUGCAGUUCCCUAUCUUCCUAGUCUUCAAUAGAUUGUUUUGAAUGUUGAUGAUAUUGAUGGUCAUAUGGUAUUUUGGGAUGUUCUGGGUAAGGACUUGGUUCAAUUGACAUAGGUACAUCACUUUGCAGCAGUUUAGCUCAGAACACUUUUCAUUUUGAUUAUGGUCGUCAUCAGAGUCAUUUUUGUUUUGUCGAGUCCAGUUUUUAUUUCAUUAGAGUUAUUUUUGUUUUGUUGAGUCCAAUUUGGUUCAGAGUCAUUGUUUAUAGUUCAUGUUGAGAGUCCAGUUCGUUUGUAGUCCUUUAUCGCUUCACACAUAAUGUACUCAUUGGUUCAUUUAGUGAUGUGAUCUUUUUAUUCUAAGUAUGUGUUAUUCUUUUUCAGGAGUAUGCUUUACAUAUCUCGCCUUGAUGUGUGUUAUGUUUUUUAUAUGAGACAUCUUUUCACUUAUACAUCAUGAUCACUUUGGCCUGACCUAUCAUGGAGGAUAUUGAGCCUAUUGACCUAGGAUCAGAAGAUCAACCUAAAGAAUUCGAGACUGUGACCCAUUUCACCUUCUGAUCAGAGCAAUACCAUAUCCAUAUCCAUAUCCAUAUCCUGACUUUGUAGACUUGAUGACCUACCCAUUUUGAACCUGACAUGACACCACCCCUUGGUACCAUUAUACGACUUCACUACUUUUGUUCAUCUUAGCAAACUAUAGUGUCAUUGCCUAUUCUUUCUAUCAUUUUCUUUGAUCUGACUAGAUAGAGUCCGAGAUGGUUAGACCUGAGGUGAACUUUGAAUGAUGAUAGAUGGAUCAUGAUGAGAGAGUGGUUUGAUUGCUUGAUGAUAUUACUGAGAUAGAGGGGUUAUCAUGGAGUAUCUAGAUCUGAGUCAUUGCACAUGACUUCAAAUAGUCGAGAUGACUAGAAAUGGUGAUUUUAUGAGACAAUGGUGAGUGGCUUAUAAUGAUAGAGUGAGGUGAUUGUCAGAGGGCUUUGAUGAUUAUCACAAAGCAUCAGUGGGAGCUUUCACACGAUUUCAGAGGAGUUGACAUGGUUGUGUUUGAUAAAUGUCAGUCUUUAGUAUUAACCAUGUGAGAUCUUGAAAGCACGAUGUUCGAGGUUGUGGUCAAAGGAUGGGUGGUCAUCAUUUCAUGAGCCCAUUUACCCUAUCACCCUUACAUAUAUAGUUACCCGUUGCUAGCCUAUUGAGCCUCACAUGAGCACCAUAGCCUUUUCUUUCAUUACCUUAUUUACCUAUUACAUCAGUUUGAGGACCCUACAGUGCUUGCAUGCUUUGAUUAAAUACGUCAUGAGUUCUAGACCUGAUAUACAUAUUCAGGCCUCAUCUCUCACUCUUCAUUGUGAUAUUUUCCACUUUGACAUCAUCUCAUCAUUUUUUUCAGCAUCCCAUAUCAGCAUUUGUGAUAUUUGUUCUCUGUCUUUUAUCUCAUCAUUGCUUACUCAACAUUAUCUUUAUUUCACUUUGAGUGGUGGUUUUUCACACGUCACUGCAUGGAGGAUUGUCACAUUCUUUUCCCUCGUUCACCCUAUGGGCAGUGGUUCAAAGAUCUCAGUUUGAGAGGUUGUCUUGUUAGUAAGGAUUCAUGUUACAUCCGUAUGUGGAGAGGGUUUGAUCAUUUGAGUAUGUAUUUUCAUGGGAGGUAAUUCAUUAUUGAUUAGAGUAUGCACAAAAAAAAAAAGAUAAAAUAUAAUGCAUUCUUCAUUGUAUCAUUCUCCAUUGAGCACAUGUAUAAAUGUGCUGGUUUGCUUCAUUAGGUUUAUGUGUUAGAGAGAGUUCGUAUAAUAGGUCACAGUGACCCUCAUUUCUUUAUGAGAUUCAUCUUGAUGUAUAUUUUAGGUGAGAGUAUGAGUCACCUAUUCGAUUUUUGUGAGAGAGGCAAACGACUUUUCUUUAGGAUUUUUUUAUCAUUGCCCUAUUCAUCAUUACAUCCAAUUUUUUGUGACUUAUCUCCAUGCUUUGAUGCAGGUUGACCAUCACUCACUUUCCUAUCUUCUUCUAUCUUUACUUUAUUCCUCCAUUUCACUCUACCCAUUUUGAUUUCUUUAUUUUCUCAUCCUGCUUGAUGUUUGACUUAGGUUGAGCAUCCACACAUUAUACUUGCUUAUUUGAUAUGGUCAUUCCUUUAUCAUCAUUUUUCAUGUGGGAAUCCUUAGGUCCACGACUCAUGAUGUUUUCUAUGCAUUGCAUCUCAUGCAUGAAGGGUACGAGGAUUAUAUCAUUAGGAUCUUUGAGCCUAGUUUCCUUUCGUUUUUUUCACCUUAUUACCUUAGCUUACGUUACGUCCCAUGUCUUAAGACCACCCUAAGGCUAUGACUUCACACAUUGUGUUUGAUGGCUCACACAUGGGCAAUACUUGAGAUUGGUUGGAGAUUAUUUCUUGGAGCAUGAUGGAUGGGGAGUUGAGGUGAUAGAUUACAUUGGGGCCUACCUCGCUCAUUGAUUACAUUUUCUUUUGGGAUGAUGUCUUACCUUGAGGCAUAGUCAAUUCACUUCUUCACUUGUAUUAUGAUGGAUUAAGAGCUGUGUGAUGACCCUACACUAGGGCAUAGCCAUUUCAAAGAGCACUUUUAUUGGAAAUACAAGCACUCUACUCGAUAUUUUACAUUGGGACACACCCCACUCAUCGAUGGUUGAUUUUUGAGAUGACGGUUUAUUUUGAGACAAAAUUGCUUUGGAGAUUGUGCAUGGUAGACAUAGCCACUCUAUUGCUUCUUGUGGAGCAUAAGAUGAUUAGGGUCUGUUGAGGUUAUACUGGUAUAUUCAUUUUUAGCAUUGAGGGAUGAGAUUGACCUUAUUAUGAUAACACAUGUUGAGACAUAGCCCUCUCAUUGGCGAUGGACUUUGAUUUAUCUUGGAGCGUAGACACUUCAAAUGGUUUAUACUGGGGCAUACCCACUUCAUUCACAUUCAUAGAGCACGAGGAUUUUGAUUCAUAUGGAUUAUGUUGAGAUGUUUCCAUUUUUGGCAUCAGGAGUAGAGAUUGAUUGAUUUGGUGAUGUACACUAGGCAUGAUCUUCCUCAGCAGUUGUUGACUCAGAUACAUUACUUUAUACUGAGACGUAGCCGGGAUGAAAAUUAUUUUUCAUUGGAGCAUAGUCACCCUAUUGGACCCUUUACACUAGGGCAUAUCCGUCUUUUGGAGGGAAAUCAGAUUGAUUCUUUACGUUAGAGCAUCUAACGAGUGAUAUGGAGAUCAUUAGAUUAUUUCAUGUUGUCCUCAUUACAUACUUGAGCAUAGCCACCUUGUUGGAUGUUUUGACAUCGAGACUUGACUUUCUGUUAUGAUAACUGUUUUUGAUGGAUUAUGGAGCUAUUGACACCUUGGGUUUAGUUUCUCGGCAUACUUAGAUGAUCUUGGAUACCUACCUACCUUUCAUUUUGUACUCAAAUAUUUCACCCUUGAUACUUUCAUGCUUUAUAUCUUACCAGAACUUGACCAUUACCUUCUUUUAUCCCACACAUCUCACCAUGACACAUGACCUCACACCGCUCUCUCGAUUAUGAGAAAAUGUAGAUCAAUCCUCAAUUUUUUUUGUUGUGCUUUCAUAUAUCUUGUGGAAUUUAGGUUCAACAUCUUCCAUGAUGGUAGAGUUUGACAGUUUGUUAAUUUAUUGGUGACGAUGUUUCCAUUUUAACAGUUGACAUGUUGAGUUUUAACUUGCUUACAUUUUGCAUUCUGUGUAUUAGUCAUCUUUAUUUUUGUCUACCAGUCUGUUUUUGUUUGUCAGUAUGGUAUCCCGAUACAUGGUCAUGUUUGGCAUUCCCAUUUGAGGUUGGACAUAUUCAUUACAUGAUGGAUGAGCAUAUUUCAGAGUAUAGUAGUUUUAAGGCAUUUUGUAUAUCUUUUUUCUCACUGUUGCAUACUGGGGCAUACCCUCUUUCCAUGGGAUCAUCAGACAUUUCAUAGACUUCAUUAUUUUUUGACCUAGUUGUCGAUUCUUAUGAGUUGUCAUACUGAGGAAUAUCCUCUCCUGUCGAGUUUGCUUGCAUCGUUAUUCUAGUUAUCCUUUGGCUUUGGGCCACUUGAUCAGAUCACCAUCAUGUCAGUUCAGUUUGAGUUUUCAAGGCCACACCUAUAUCGGUUGGUCAUCUUCAUGUCAUUUUCCAUGUGAGUUUGAGUUUUUGGGACCACACCUAUAUCGAUCGUUCAUCAUUUUGUUAGUUUGAGUUUGGGUUUUUGGGGUUGAAUCUAUAUCGAUUGACCAUUUUCCUGUCAGUUUGUGUUCAGUUUGAGUUGGGACCACACCUAUAUCGAUUGGUCAUUGUCAUGUUAGUUUAGUUUGAGUUUUUAGGGUCGUACCUAUAUUGAUCGGUCAUUCUUCAUGUUAGCUCCAUGUCAGUUUGAGUUUCAGGAUCGCACCUAUAUCAAUUGGUCAUCUUCCUAUCAGUUUGAGUUUGAGUUUUUGAGUUGGGACCGUACCUAUAUCAAUCGGUCAUCUUCAUGUCAGUUCCGUGACGGUUUGAGUUUCAGGACCGCACCUAUAUCGAUUGGUCAUUUUUCUUAUCAAUUCAAUUAGUGUUUCAGGGUCGCACUUAUAUCAAUCGGUUAUCUUCCUAUCAGUUUGUGUUUAGUUUGAGUUAGGACCGCACCUAUAUUGAUCGGUCAUUCAUCUUGUCAGUUUGAGUUUGAGUUUUCGAGUUGGGAUUGUACCUAUAUCGAUUGGUCAUCUUCAUGUCAGUUUCGUGUCAGUUUAAGUUUCAAGACCGCACCUAUAUCAAUCGGUCAUUUUUUUUGUCAGUUCAGUUAGAGUUUCAGGGUCACACCUAUAUCAAUCGGUUAUCUUCCUAUCAGUUUGUGUUCAGUUUGAGUUGGGACCAUACCUAUAUCGAUCGGUCAUCAUCUUGUCAAUUUGAGUUUGCAUUUUUAGGACCGCACCUAUAUUAAUCGGUCAUUUUUGUUGUCAGUUCAGUUAGAGUUUUAGGGCCGCACUUAUAUCAAUCGGUCAUCUUUCAAUCAGUUUGUGUUUAGUUUGAGUUGAGACUACACCUAUAUUGAUCAGUCAUUCAUCUUGUCAGUUUGAGUUUGAGUUUUCGAGUUGGGAUCGCACCUAUAUCGAUCAGUCAUUGUCUUGUUAGUUUGAGUUUGUGUUUUUUGGGUCGUACUUAUAUCAAUUAGUCAUCUUCCUAUCAAUUUGUGUUCAGUUUGAGUUGGGACCGCACCUAUAUCGAUCGAUCAUCGUCUUGUCAGUUUAAGUUUGCAUUUUUUAGGCCGCACCAAUAUCAAUCGACCAUCUUCCUAUCAUUUUGUGUUCAAUUUGAGUUGGGACCACACCUAUAUUGAUCAGUCAUUCAUCUCCUUAGUUCAGUUAGAGUUCGGGGUCGCACCUAUAUCGAUCGGUCAUCUUCUUGUCAGUUUGUGUUCAGUUCGAGUUGAGACCGCACCUAUAUCGAUCUGUUAUCUUCAUGUUAGUUCAGUUUGGGUUUUGAGGCUGCACCUAUAUCAAUCGGUCAUCUUCCUAUCAGUUCAGUUCAGUUUGAGUUUUCGGGAGCGCACCUAUAUUUAUCGAUCAUUCAUCCUAUCUUGACAAUUCUGCUUGAGUUUUGAGGCCGCACCUAUAUCAAUCGGUCAUCUUCUUAUCAGUUCAGUUCAGUUUGAGUUUUCAGAACCGCACCUAUAUCGAUCGGUUAUUCAUCAUGUCUUGUCAAUUGUGCUUGAGUUUUUGGGACUGCACCUAUAUCGAUUGGUCAUUUGUCUUAUCAGUUUGAGUUCAGUUUGAGUUUCUAGGACCGCACCUAUAUCGAUCGGUCAUUCAUCUUGUCAGUUGAGUUGAGUCUUGUUCGGCUUCGAGUCACGCCUACCUAGUUGAGUCUAUUCAGCCUUGAGCCACACCUUAUCAUUUCUUUGAGUUCUUUUUCCAUGUGUCGAUCACUUCUUGUCUCAGUCAUCUUUAUAUUGUUCAUUGUAUCAUGGUCCAGUGUUAUUCAUUGCAUAUACACUCAUCGCAUCAUCCACAUUUUUGGCUAGAGUCUCACCUUUCUAGUAUGUGCCCUUAAUUUUGAGCUUAUCGCGUUAUGUGUUUAGACCAAAAUUUGAAAUCUUUUCUAUUCUUCGGUACAGUUCACUUCAUUCCAUUCAUCUCUCACAUAUCUGUGAUCCAUUCAUUACACUUGUCAUCUCUAUCGACGAAUGACAUAUUUGUAGAUCCUCAUUUUGGUAUAGUUUUUUUGUUAUUUUUAGAGCACUAUUUUCAUAUCACCCCGGGAAAGCUGGUGACAUCUUGGAGGAGUGGUGGAAGGGGAGGCGGCUUCUUUAAGUGCUGAGAGCUGCAUGCAUGGAUGCAUGGCCAAGGACACUCCCACCUUGCCAUGGUGAUGGUUAGGGAUGGAGACAUCUUUGAGCAAGGAGUGGGGUGAGCAAAAAAAGUGGGUGAAAACAGGACUGAAAAGGGAACGAAUGACGUUUUUUUUAGAAGGAGAGUUGCAGAAAACGGAGAAGAGAAGGAACGAAAAAAAGAGGUGAUUUCCAAAGAGAAAAACAGAAGAAGUGGGAUGGAGAUUUUUAGUUCCGGAUGGGGGAAGGUUUUUCAAUAGGAGAGAGACCA
rnacentral:lncRNA from 1 species